AGUGAACGCUGGCGGUAGGCCUAACACAUGCAAGUCGAACGGCAGCACAGUAAGAGCUUGCUCUUACGGGUGGCGAGUGGCGGACGGGUGAGGAAUACAUCGGAAUCUACUUUUUCGUGGGGGAUAACGUAGGGAAACUUACGCUAAUACCGCAUACGACCUACGGGUGAAAGCAGGGGAUCUUCGGACCUUGCGGGAUUGAAUGAGCCGAUGUCGGAUUAGCUAGUUGGCGGGGUAAAGGCCCACCAAGGCGACGAUCCGUAGCUGGUGUGAGAGGAUGGUCAGCCACACUGGAACUGAGACACGGUCCAGACUCCUACGGGAGGCAGCAGUGGGGAAUAUUGGACAAUGGGCGCAAGCAUGAUCCAGCCAUACCGCGUGGGUGAAGAAGGCCUUCGGGUUGUAAAGCCCUUUUGUUGGGAAAGAAAAGCAGCAGGUUAAUACCCCGCUGUUCUGACGGUACCCAAAGAAUAAGCACCGGCUAACUUCGUG
rnacentral:rRNA from 1 species